CAAGUACUUCCUCCAUCCUGAAAUACUUGUCCGAGGAAUGAAUGUACCUAGAUGUAUUUUAGUUCUAGAUACAUCCAUUUGUAUUCAUUUCUAUGACAAGUAUUUUUGGACGGAGGGAGUACGCC
rfam:Triticum aestivum genome assembly, contig: Triticum_aestivum_CS42_TGACv1_scaffold_570973_7AS